rnacentral:rRNA from 1 species
GAGAGUUUGAUCCUGGCUCAGAGUGAACGCUGGCGGUAGGCCUAACACAUGCAAGUCGAACGGCAGCACAGAGGAGCUUGCUCCUUGGGUGGCGAGUGGCGGACGGGUGAGGAAUACAUCGGAAUCUACUCUGUCGUGGGGGAUAACGUAGGGAAACUUACGCUAAUACCGCAUACGACCUACGGGUGAAAGCAGGGGAUCUUCGGACCUUGCGCGAUUGAAUGAGCCGAUGUCGGAUUAGCUAGUUGGCGGGGUAAAGGCCCACCAAGGCGACGAUCCGUAGCUGGUCUGAGAGGAUGAUCAGCCACACUGGGACUGAGACACGGUCCAGACUCCUACGGGAGGCAGCAGUGGGGAAUAUUGGACAAUGGGCGCAAGCCUGAUCCAGCCAUACCGCGUGGGUGAAGAAGGCCUUCGGGUUGUAAAGCCCUUUUGUUGGGAAAGAAAUCCAGCUGGCUAAUACCCGGUUGGGAUGACGGUACCCAAAGAAUAAGCACCGGCUAACUUCGUGCCAGCAGCCGCGGUAAUACGAAGGGUGCAAGCGUUACUCGGAAUUACUGGGCGUAAAGCGUGCGUAGGUGGUCGUUUAAGUCCGUUGUGAAAGCCCUGGGCUCAACCUGGGAACUGCAGUGGAUACUGGACGACUAGAGUGUGGUAGAGGGUAGCGGAAUUCCUGGUGUAGCAGUGAAAUGCGUAGAGAUCAGGAGGAACAUCCAUGGCGAAGGCAGCUACCUGGACCAACACUGACACUGAGGCACGAAAGCGUGGGGAGCAAACAGGAUUAGAUACCCUGGUAGUCCACGCCCUAAACGAUGCGAACUGGAUGUUGGGUGCAAUUUGGCACGCAGUAUCGAAGCUAACGCGUUAAGUUCGCCGCCUGGGGGAGUACGGUCG